UGGGAUGAUGUGAGGGUAGGUGGCUGAGCAGUGAUGAACUAAUCGGCCCCUGACC
rnacentral:snoRNA from 1 species